UACGAAGGGGGCUAGCGUUGUUCGGAAUCACUGGGCGUAAAGCGUGCGCAGACGGUCAUGUAAGUCGGGUGUGAAAGCCCCGGGCUCAACCUGGGAAUUGCAUUCGAGACUGUGUGGCUAGGGUGCGGAAGAGGGAAGCGGAAUUUCCGGUGUAGCGGUGAAAUGCGUAGAUAUCGAGAGGAACACCGGUGGCGAAGGCGGCCUUCUGGACAGUGACUGACGCUGAGACGCGAAAGCGUGGGGAGCAAACAGG
rnacentral:rRNA from 1 species